rnacentral:rRNA from 1 species
UACGUAGGGUGCGAGCGUUAAUCGGAAUUACUGGGCGUAAAGCGUGCGUAGGCGGUUCGUUAAGUUCGUUGUGAAAGCCCCGGGCUCAACCUGGGAACUGCAAUGGAAACUGGCGGGCUUGAGUGUGGCAGAGGGGGGUGGAAUUCCGCGUGUAGCAGUGAAAUGCGUAGAGAUGCGGAGGAACACCGAUGGCGAAGGCAGCCCCCUGGGCCAACACUGACGCUCAGGCACGAAAGCGUGGGGAGCAAACGGG